rnacentral:rRNA from 1 species
UACGUAGGCAGCGAGCGUUGUUCGGAGUUACUGGGCGUAAAGGGUGUGUAGGCGGUUCUUUUAGUUUGGUGUGAAAUCCCCCGGCUCAACCGGGAGGGUGCGCCGAAUACUGAGGGACUAGAGUACGGGAGAGGAAAGUGGAAUUCCUGGUGUAGCGGUGAAAUGCGCAGAUAUCAGGAAGAACACCCGUGGCGAAAGCGGCUCUCUGGAACGGUACUGACGCUGAGACGCGAAAGCGUGGGGAGCGAACAGG